UAUUGAUUCCUCUUUAUUCAAGCAAUGGUUGCAUAACUUGCAAAGUGAGAUUUGGGAUUCUAGCUGAUGGCACCUUGGCUCUGAGACAAGUUCUAAUUCAGGUUCCAGGUAUUGUAUUUGCAAGAGGACCUGCUGUGACUAUGUUGAUACUUCUGGAAUCAGAUGGUGAAACUUAUGCUGUCCUUACUGAACAGGCAAGGGUUCCUACUGGAAGAAUUAUUUUGGAAUUGCCUGCUGGAAUGACAGCACCUGAGGAAUUAGCAAAGGUCCGUCUAAUUGCUAGUAUUGGAAUGGAUAACUUGAACGCUUAAUGCACAAAGUGGAGCAGUUUUAGGUUGAUUUUGAUCUUUUACUAAGUAUUUAGGUUGAUGAUCAUCUCUAUUAGUGUAAUUUGAUAUAUUAUGAGCAGUUCU